rnacentral:rRNA from 1 species
AGUACGUGAAACUGCUUAGAGGUUAAGCCCGAUGAACCUGAAUAUCCAUUAUGGAAAAUUCAUCACUAAUAAUAUUAUAUUUAUAAUAUAAUAGAAAUGGUGUGCAAUUUUUCCAUAUAAGGACAUUGUAAUCUGUUAAUGUAAUAAAUAUUUAUUAAAAGUUCUUAUACUUAAGUUUAUUCAAAUUAGUUAUUUUCGGAUUUCUAACAUAGAAUAAAUGUAUUUGAAUUAAUAAAUCAUUGACAGAUUUAUUUAUAUAUAGUGCUUAAAUUUUUUUCGAAAAAUUUUACAAUAUUAUAAUAAUUUAAUUUAUUAUAUUUAUUGUAUGCGCUUAUAUGAUUUACAAUGCGAUAGAUUCAGGAUACCUUCGGGACCCGUCUUGAAACACGGACCAAGGAGUCUAACAUAUGUGCAAGUCAUUGGGUAUUUUUAAUAAAACCCAAUGGCAUAAUUAACUUAACUGUUUUUUAAUAUGGGAUUAGUUUAUAUUUUAUUAUGAAUUAUAAAUUCAAUCCCGGGGCGUUCUAUACAGUUAUGUAUAAUAAUAUUUAUAUUAUUUAUACCUCUAACU